rnacentral:lncRNA from 1 species
AUGGAGAUUGCAUGGCAGUGUGCUCGAUUUUAUAGACCUGUCAGCAACGGGUGUGCAUCAAAUAGCCGUAUCCUUUCAUUUGAAGAGUUGUCCAUAUACUUUUGGCCAUGUAGUGUAUAUGCAGUCAUGCUUGCAUGCAUUUUACGUAUGGGUGGUCCCAGGAAUCGAACUCACUGUCUUGGCGUUGCAAGCGCCAUGCUCUACCAACUAAGCUACCAAGGACCACCACCAAUUAUAUUGUUCAUGUCUAACAGGAAUGCCCCAGAUGUCUAUGCACCCUCAUGGCCAUCCCCCAGGUAUGGUGCCUCCACCGGGCCCCCCAGGAUCCAACCAGCACCGGGCGCCUCCACCCCCCGGCAUGCCCCCUCAUCCACACAUGGGCAUGCCACCGAGAGGGCCCUAUGGGCAUCCCAUGGGUCACCCCAUGCAUCCAGGCAUGAGAGGACCCCCUCCUCCCAUGCCCCCACCAGGCUACGGUGGGGGUCCCCCUCGUCCGCCUCCGUUUGGCUUCCAGAGGGGGCCACCAAUGCCACCGAGGCCCCCCGGUGGCCCACCUCGAGGCCCCAUGAGAGGACCAAUGCCCCCAUAGACUACGGAGGACCACAGCAAGGCGCAUGACCAUGCUUUCAUUUAGCUCUUUUAAAAUUUGAUUUAUUUUCUAUUCUAGUACAAUUUGGACACAUGGUGUAGCUCCAUUUAAUUUUUUUUUUUUUUUUUACAUUUUCUUCACUGUACAGAACCGAACAAAGGUUCGGAAUAAAGGUUUUUAAUACAACAAAUUGGGUCUUUCAAUUGAUGUCAAGUGAUUUCAGUUUUAGUUGGUCUCCUCAAUAGGUUAAAUUCCAAAUGUGAUCAAAAGGCCAGUCGUUUGAGACUGUUGGUAGCCAGGA